CCCUUCUCCAGCGCGAGCGCGCGCGCGCUCUCUCUCUCCCUCCCCCUCCCCUCUCGCGACUCCUCCUCCGCCGCCACCUGCGCCACUCGAUUCCGGCGAGUCGACGCGGCUCUCGCCGGCGCGCAGCACACCCCCGGGCUCCCCUCGCGCAGCUCUUUCCUCCCCUCCCAUCAGAUGCAUCCCUCGCGCCCUCUAGUACUCGCCCGCAACCCUCACCCGUGGCUAGGGUUUCGGCCGCCACCCCUAACUUUGUCGAGAUCUGCCACAUCCGGCGACGGCGAAUCCAGAGGUGGCCGGAUCUGGCACCGGUCACCAUGGUUGUGGAUGGGACGACGACGAUGGCAGGAGGGGCGAACAUCCAUGGGACGGGCCGCCACCAUGGAGAUGGAGCUCCUUCUCCCCUACCACGCAACCUUCCUCCCAGCGCCAACAGAGGGCCGGCUACCAUGACGCGACAGCGCCGUCGCAAGCCUCGCAGGGCUGUGCAUCUCGUCGUCUGCCACGCCCUACCAGGAGCUCCAUUACCCACGCGUCUCCUCUGAGGAGGGGACGGUGGCUUGUGCGCCGGCGUGGUUGGCUCCACCUCCCCGCCGACCUAUGACUCCACAUGCGUCGCCGUCUUCGACCGCAGGUCCAUGUCCUCGAUCUGCUUCCUUUGCUUCCCGUAGGUUUCCGCAUAGAUCUGGCCGUUUGAUUUGAUGCGGAUGCGAAUUUGGAUCUCCAUCGCUGUAGGUUUCCCGUAGGUUUCCUGUUCGUACUCACGUUCGAAUUAGCAAUGAAUCCCUCAGUUUAUGCAGUUUCGUUGUGGUUGAUUGACAUCCCUGUGAAGAUAAAAUUCAGGACCAACUGUUAGCUUUUUGUGAAGCAAAAACAAUUGGUAAAAAAUCGUAGAAACCCCCAAUCAGUCGAUUUAUAGUUGACAGAAGAAGUAUGAUUUGGUGUUGGUGUGUGUGAACUUCUGACAUUUUGAUCUCUGAAUGCUAGUUGGACAUUUUGCUAGUAUGACAUUUUGAUAUCUGAAUGCUAGUUUGACAUUUUGAUAUCUGAAUCCGUUUCUCUUCCCCUCAUCUUUUCUUCUUCUGCUCUCUGUCUUACCCCCUUCUCAUCUCUCUUUCGAACCAGGACGUCACCAUGGGAGAAGAAGGCGUGAUGUGUUGUGCUGCUGCUUGGGAGGGACGCCAUGGGCCUCCCUACUCUGCUUCUUCUCUUCCCCUAACUCCAUCAAGGUGAUGGAUUGGUACAACGACCUACUCCCCUGCUUCCUAUGUUAAUUUGGUGUGCGAUGUGGAUGUGAUGUAUUUUAGGCAUGAUUAAAUACGUAUUUUGGUUCAACUCUGACUGAAACAACUUGUUGGUUCAGUUUCUUGUAUGAAGAACAAAUAUGACGAACACUUUUUCUUUUCCUUUUUGUUCAAGAUUCAUUUCUAAUUCUAAACCAAACUGAAAUUGCAAAUAGUCUAGAAUGAAUGAAGCAGAGAGUCCUUCCUUCUUUGGCAGCUGGACAAUUCCUUCUCAAGGUGCUGGUGUUUGUGGAGGUGAUUGACCUCUUUUUUUUACUCUGUGUAUCAAGGUGCAGCUGCUGAGCAUUGAUAGGUGUUGUUCGGUGUACCUCGACAUGAUUUCCAGGACAUGAAAUGUCAGCUAUCUAAGCUGCUCCUUUGUUCCUGGACAUGAUUUAUCCUUCGAUUUGAUCAACAUUAUCUUGUUAUGUCUCUUGUCCGUCAUGUGCAGCGGCAACAGGAUUUGCAGAGUACAAGGGUGGGCUCAUCGAGGUUUGCGGUGGUAGGCUCGCUCGGCCCCAGCGUCUUCUGUUGAACGGACAUGCCGCCUCUUCGGCGUCGGCUACAUGAGAGCCAUGGAAUCAAUGAUGCCGACCUUAUUGCUGGGCACUGUGCUUUUGGUGUAUGAUAUGGCUGGGAGAAAACACAUAGUUUCCUGCUGGUUUAUUACAUAUCAGCCAGUACUGUACGGAGUAGUAUAUAAGGACGUUUUACUGUAGUAUGGCUGAGGCAGUGACUAGCUUGGUAGUUAGUACUAGCUGAGAAAAUUCAUGAUGCUGGCUGGGAGCAAAAAGUUUAUAGGCUUAGUUGUUGUAUUGGUUCUAUUGUUGUAUGGGGAUAUAUGCAUAGAUAUGUAACAUGUGGGUUCCAAGCA